rnacentral:lncRNA from 1 species
UUAUUUUGCCAUAAUAUUUUAAGAUUUCGUGCUUUAAAAUGUUAGGGCUUUUUUUCCUGCAAUAUUUUAGGAUUUUGUGCUUCAAUUUUUUUUUUUGACAUCGUAUUUUAGGGAUUUUUGCUGUAAUUUUAGGCUUUUUUUUUCCAUAACAUUUUUGUGGGGUUUUUUUCCUAUAAUAUAUUAGGUUGGGUUUUUUUUGCUGCAAUAUUUUAGGUUUUUUUUGCCCUAGUGUUUUUGGUGUUUUGUGCUUUAACAUUUUAGUUUUUUUUUUCUGUAAUAUUUUAGUGGUUUUUUCCUGUAACAUUUCAGGGGUUGUUCUUGGUAUAAUUUUAUUUCCGGAUUUUUUUUCCCUGAUGUGUUUGGGGUUUUUCCCUGUAACAUUUCAGGGAUUUUUCUCUGCAUAAUUUUAUUUCAGGAUUUUUUUUCCCUAAUGUAUUUGGGUCUUUUCCCAUAAUAUUUUAGGUUUGUUUUUUAUUUUUGUCAUAUUUCAGGGUAUUUUUCUGUGGUAUCGUGGGCCCUUCCCCUCACACUCGCCGCCCCCGAUCCCUCCACCCCUGGGGUUGCCCCAAAUGAGGAUUUCCGUUGCGGGGGGUGUUUUUUUGCCCGUUUUCCCUGUUUUUCCAGGCGUACUGCGUGACGGAGCCGGGGGCGGGCUCGGACGUGGCCGGGAUCAAGACGAAGGCCGAGCGCAAGGGGGACGAGUACGUCAUCAACGGGCAGAAGAUGUGGAUCACCAACGGCGGCAAGGCCAACUGGUAUUUUUUACUGGCUCGGACGGAUCCGGACCCAAAAACCCCGGCCAGCAAAGCCUUCACCGGGUUCAUCGUGGAGGCCGACAGCCCCGGCAUCCAGGUCGGGAGGAAGGAGCUGAACAUGGGCCAGCGCUGCUCGGACACGCGGGGGAUCCUCUUCGAGGACGUGCGGGUGCCCAAGGAGAACGUCCUCCUGGGCGAGGGCGCCGGCUUCAAGAUCGCCAUGGGGGCCUUCGACAAGACCCGCCCCCCCGUGGCGGCGGGCGCCGUGGGCCUGGCCAGAAGAGCCAUGGACGAGGCCACCAAGUACGCGCUGGAGAGGAAGACCUUCGGGAAACCCAUCGCUGAGGUGAGUUCAAAUGAAAAAAACCACAAUUCUGUAAAGAGAUCAAAAAAAGAAAAUGUCGAAAAUGGAUAUUUUCACCCGCUCCUGGGGAAUUUUCAGAUUUCCUUGAUAUUUAGGGUGUGAGGGUUUAUUUUCUCUCCGCCGUCGCUUGGGGUUUCUGCUAAAAUCUCAGUGUUGAGGAAGUUCUCAAUCCACAAAUUUUAGAGUCCUCAAUCUGUGAAUUUUAGAAUCCUCAAUCUGUGAAUUUUAGAAUCCUCCUCCACAAAUUUUAGAAUUCUUAAUCCAUGAGGUUUAGAAUUCUCAAUUUGUUACUUUCAGAAUUCUCAUCCCCAAAUUUCAGAAUUCUCAAUCUGUGAAUUUUAGAAUCUUCAAUCCCUGAAUUUCAGAAUCCUCACCCACAAAUUUUAGAAUCUUUAUCCACAGAUUUCAGACUCUUCGGUCUGUCAAUUUUAGAAUCCUCUAUUGUGACUUUUAGAAUGUGCAUCCACAAGUUUUAGAACUCUCAGUCCAGGAAUUUUAGAAUCCUCAUCCCCAAAUUUCAGAAUUCUCAAUCCAUGAAUAUUAGAAUCAUCAUCCAUGAACUUUAGAAUCCUCAAAUUCUAGAAUUCUCAUCGACAAAUUUCAGAAUUCUCAAUCCAUGGGUUUUGGAAUCCUCGAUACUCAAAUUUUAGAAUUUUUGAUACGUUUUAGAAUCCUCAAUACCUGGAUUUUAGAAUCCUCGAUUGUGGAUUUUUGAGUCCUCGAUUGUAAAUUUUUGAGUCCUUGAUGUGAAUUUUUGAGUCCUUGAUUGUGAAUCUCCUCUGACCCCUGUCCCAUCCAUCCCAU